CCAUUUUUGUGGUUUUAGUUUUUGUGUAUCUACCAGUACGGAACACUCCCCGAUGCUGGAACUCGCGAAAUCCUCUUGAAGAAUCGCAUCCAUUUGGAGCCAUUUCGAUUCUUUCUCGAAGAACCCAAUCGCCUUUUUCAAACCAGAUACAACCUCUCAAUGCUGCGAAGCCUUUCUCAUGUCGGCACUGCCACUGUCUCGCUUCCCUGCCUUUUCUUAUCUCUCUUCCCAUAAACUCUGUGCUCUCCCUCUUCCAUCCGUCACCGCAGAUCACGCCCUUCUCCACCGUCGCCGGCUACCCACAAUUUCUGCUUCUUCAAUCAGGAAACCCAGGGCCAGUAGGAAGGUGAGGAACGAUGCAGAUCUCUGCACGGAUAUCCAGGAAUUCCUACGUGUUGUUGGGCUUCCGGAGGGGCAUGUUCCCUCUGUGAAGGAGCUAUCCCAGCAUGGAAGGCAGGACCUUGCAAACAUUGUCAGACGAAGGGGAUAUAAAUUUAUGAAGGAGCUUCUUGUAGCCUCAACAGAGUCUGGUAGGCAGGGGUCUGAUGCAGAGGAAGGCUUAAUUGAUAAAAAGGAUAUAAGUGGUGAACAUAAAUUGGAAUCAACCGUAACCUUAUAUUCCACAAAAGGUCAGGAUGAGAAUGUGGAAGAUAUGGCUGCUGAAAUGCUCCUGACUAGUGAAGUUCCUGUCAAACAAAACCAUUUAAAUAGUGCAGAUGGAGCAAAUAUCAAUCAUGCUUUGAUUUCUGAGAGCGAAAGUUGCACGAAUACAGAAUCUUCCUCCAAUUUAUCAUUGCAGGAGAAGGUGGCUAAGUUUAUCCAAGAUGGAGAGUUAGAUGCGAUUGAAGAUGCAGGUGAUGACAAGGAUUUUUUUGAGCUUGAAGAUGCAACUAAAGAAUCAUGUUCCCUGGGUAAAGAGCACUCUGAAUUGGUGCUUAAUCAAAGCCAUAAUGGUGUGAUAUUAAAUGAAAGUGUAUUGCCAACUAUGCAAGUUGUACUUGCUGAAUCAGAAAGCAAUGCUCCAAGAAAUGAUCAAUCUUCAAGUGAAGGACCUCUGUCUGCUGGUUGUGAUGAGCAAUUGGAUGUUGAGACGAGUAAAAGAGAGAAUCAGAUUGAAGUCAAUCAUCUCGAGUUGGUACUGCAUCAGAAGGAGCUGGAAUUGUCUCAGUUGAAGGAACAGAUUGAGAAGGAAAAGCUUGCUUUGUCUGUUGUGCAAACCAAGGCAGAAACAGAGAUCAGCAAAGCUAAGAAGCUUAUUUUGGAGAAGGAUGCUGAAUUGCAGGCUGUGGAAGAAAGUCUUUCUGGAUUGGAGGAGUGUUACUCCUUUUAAUUGAGGGAGCUGUACUUAAAUAUGUUUGAACACAUCAAAGAGACCUACUUGCUUGAUAUUUAUCUUCGUUUCAAAGAGGUAAGAGCAAUGAUAAGCAUGUUGGUUGGUUUAAGAGUCCUAGAAAGCAAUGCCGAGGCCUACUUUUUAUCAAAUAAGAUCCCAGGUACUUCAUUUUUUACAUUUUCUGAUUUUCCCAUUUGUUCUUCCACCAAUUAAUUUUUGAAGUCAAAACUGAUAGGUACCUGAGUAACAUAACUGUAAAAUCUUGAUUACAACUUCUGCUACAACUUGAAGCUGUUCUAACUGAUGAGAGUAGCUCUAAUUGAUAUUAUUAUGUUCAUCUCAGUAGUAGCUAAUUGAUUUGACUGUUGAUAGUAACAAAGACUUGCAAGUUACUAUUUUGACCUUUGCGCUGCCCAAUCCAUGGCAGACAGGAGAGGCUGGUGGCUUAAUGUGGUUGUGCUACCUAUACAUUUAUUUUAGGUUUCUAUCACCAAUGCAUACUCAAACAUUGCUGGUGUUAUGUCCAGACUUUCUGUGAGAUUGACAGCUUCAAUUGACUUUAUGAAAUUCUAUGAAUUUUAUUAGGUUCAGAUUCAUUACGAGGGUGAAGGUGAAACUGUAGAGGUGGCUGGUAGCUUCAAUGGUUGGCAACAUCGUAUAACAAUGGAUCCACAGCUGUCAUCAAGUAUCUUGGACCCUAUUGGAUCAAGGAAUUCCAGACUUUGGACGGCAACAUUAUGGCUUUAUCCUGGAAAAUAUGAG